AGUUGAUCCUGGCUCAGAACGAACGCUGGCGGCAGGCUUAAUACAUGCAAGUCGAGCGCCUGUAGCAAUACAGGAGCGGCGCACGGGUGCGUAACACGUGGGAAUAUGCCUUUGGUACGGAACAACCACUGGAAACGGUGGCUAAUACCGUAUGGGUCCCUCCGGGGUAAAGAUUUAUCGCCAAAAGAGUAGCCCGCGGCAGAUUAGCUAGUUGGUGAGGUAAUGGCUCACCAAGGCGACGAUCUGUAGCUGGUCUGAGAGGACGAUCAGCCACACUGGGACUGAGACACGGCCCAGACUCCUACGGGAGGCAGCAGUAGGGAAUAUUGGACAAUGGGGGAAACCCUGAUCCAGCCAUGCCGCGUGAGUGAUGAAGGCCUUCGGGUUGUAAAGCUCUUUUAUCCACGAAGAUAAUGACUGUAGUGGAAGAAUAAGCCCCGGCUAACUUCGUG
rnacentral:rRNA from 1 species